rnacentral:lncRNA from 1 species
AUUGAUUUUCGUGAAAUUCCCUGGUCCUUUUCCACCCUUAAUUAAAUGUGGAUGAUCUGGAGUAGGGAAUGGAAGGGAGAUGGUGAUGCUUCCAUAGGUUUUUGAGUCGAGAAACCUAACUAGUUGUAUGAUCUUUGAAAAGAAAUUGGUGACUGUUUUCUGAAUUCUAAGAAAAAUUAUCCUUCAUCAUCGGCUGUUGUACAUGGAAUUUGCCCUUAGUAAAUUGGCAGCAAACCUAGCUAGUUGUAUGAUCUUUGAAAAGAAAUUGGAGACUGUUUUCUGAAUUCUAAGAAAAAUUAUCCUUCAUCAUCGGCUGUUGUACAUGGAAUUUGCCCUUUGUAAAUUGGCAGCUUUGUUUAGCUUCCUUUUUUUGGGGAAGAUUUUCUCCUCUUGUUGAGUUCAAUGAUUGAAUUGAUAAUUACUUUAUUUUGGCCUUCAUGCUUUCAAUUCGUCCUUGCAGUAUGUACCAGCCAUCCCAGUAAGAGAGGGAAGUAUGGAAAUCAUAAAAGUUGUUAUCUUUCUUCCUGUCAUUAAUGUUUAUGGUAAUAAGUAAUGUUGUGAUAUAUACUUGCUUCCUGCCAUUAGUGGUUUUCCCCCGAUAUUAAAUGGAAGAAAACAUUUGCUUUUAAUUAAUUAAAGUGAUCUACACUGCAAACACUAUAAAAUAUCUGAGUAGGAUCGCGAAAUCAUGUUUCAUUUUGAUUAGAUGGUGAUUCUUUUAUAUGUUCGGCAUC